AUGGCGCAACUGCACAGUGAAAACAUAGUGAAGGAAACAGAAGAGAUCAGAAGGAAGAAGAGAAACAAGAUGAGGAGGCAGAGGGUGGUUGCUGAUAAAAACCAGCAGGUUAAUAUUCACCACAGUGAACAGAAUGAAGUGAAGAAAAAGAAGAAACAUAAAAAUCAGGUAACAGCCAAAGUUACAAAUGGAGGGGAGCCUUCCAGCUUUACAGGUGUCAAAGAUGGAGUGAACAAGAAGAAAGGAGAGCCUGAGACACCCAUGAAAAAGAAGAGAAAAUUGGAAGAGAAUGAUGAAACAAAGCCAAAGAAAAAGAGGCUGUCUGGCGCAGAGUCUGGUGGCCAUACUGGUGCUGAUCAUUCCAAGAUGACAGCUGAAAACUCUGUACACAAUGUGAAAAAGAAUAAAAAAAAGAAAUCGAAGAUUAAUAUGACAGGCUACACUUGUGAGGAAGUAGGAAGUGGGAAAAGUAAGAAUGAAAGUAUGGCUUUGAGGAAAGGAGGUGCCAAGGCUGAGAAAGGGGGAGAACAUGGCACCAAGAAGAGUAGGAAAAAUAAGGGGAAAGCUCUGAUGAACAUCUCCACUGAGACUGUUUGUGCUGAAGAAGGGGCAAAGGCCAAAGAAGGAGCUAGAAGAAACAAGGGUAUGAAGAAGAAGAAGAAAAAGAAGGAGGCUGAAGACAGUGAGGAGAUUAAGGUGGAGGAGAAUAAAAUGAAGAAUGCUGACAUGGGGGUGCUAGAUGUGAGCUCAACCCUGAUGACUAAGAAGGUGGAGAAGAAGAAGAAGAAGAAGUGGAAGGCUGUGGAGGCUGGAGCACAGCAAGCGACAAGGAAAAGUGAAGGAGAGGGGAAGGAAAAAAAGAAGAAAGCUGCAGUUUCAGAAACAAAGCCUGGUGUGGAUAUAAAGAAAGAGAAAACUGAAAAUAGAGAGAGGACUGCAGGAGGGGAAGGAACUUGCAUGAAGAUCCUGACUGGGACAGAGAAGGUGCGGGAAUAUGAUGAGGGCAGCACCAAGAAAAAGAAGAAGGUGAAGAUUGAGAUUUUGGGUGUUUCUGAUGCUGGGAGAGGAAAGGAGAAUGAGGAUGGGUACAAAAGGAAUAAAGGAAUAAAGACAACUGAGGAUGGGAGGAAAAAGAGGAAGAGGAAGGGGGAGAAGGCAGAGGCUAAAGAGGAGAACAUUCGUUUGAAUGAGGCCAUCAAGGAAGAAGAGGGGGGACCGAAGAAGAAAAAGAAAAUGGCGAAAUUGACCGUAAAUGAAGGGCUCCCCAGUGACAAAGAAGUGGUAUCAAUAGAGAAGAAAAGGGAGAAGAAGAGCAGAGUCUUGGAGAAUGGGAACAAAACGAAGAAGGAGAAGGUCAAAAAGAAGGAGCUUGUAGAAGGACAGGAGGUGAUUGCUGCACUGAGGAAUGAUGUGAGCUUUUCGAAGACUGGAAAGGUGAAGAAGAUGAGGAAGAAGCAGUCUGAGGAGGAUGAAGUGGUUCCAGAAAAUGGCACAAGGAAGAACGAGGAAGAAGGAGCCAACAAUUCUGUGCCGCUGACAAAGAAGAAGAAGAAGAAGAAAAGCAAGGAGAAAAAUGGCCAGCAGGACCAAGACCUUAAGAAGAGAAAAAAGCACAAGGGGUACCCUGCAGAGGAGAAGGCGGCAGCAAAGGGGAAGAAAGUCAAGGUGGAGCAGACGGGCUUUGAGUCAGAAGAGGUUAGUUUAACUGAUAUAAUCUGUGAAACUUUGUGUGGCGACUUACAAUAA
ensembl:lncRNA